rnacentral:rRNA from 1 species
GACGAACGCUGGCGGCGCGCUCAACACAUGCAAGUCGAACGGAAAGGCCUGCUUUCCCUUGUGGAUUGCGGGUACUCGAGUGGCGAACGGGUGAGUAACACGUGAGUGAUCUGCCCCCAACUUGGGUAUAAGCCUGGGAAACUGGGUCUAAUUCCCGAUAGGACUGCAGGGUGGUGCCUGUGGUGGAAAACGAUUUUCUAGUGGUUGGGGAUGAGCUCGCGGCCUAUCAGCUUGUUGGUGGGGUAAUGGCCUACCAAGGCGGCGACGGGUAGCCGGCCUGAGAGGGUGGACGGCCACAUUGGGACUGAGAUACGGCCCAGACUCCUACGGGAGGAAGCAGUGGGGAAUAUUGCACAAUGGGCGGAAGCCUGAUGCAGCGACGCCGCGUGGGGGAUGACGGCCUUCGGGUUGUAAACUCCUUUCGACCGCGAGGAAGCCACCUGGUUGGAAGGGUGGUGACGGUAGUGGUAGAAGAAGCACCGGCUAACUACGUG